rnacentral:rRNA from 1 species
UACGUAGGUGGCAAGCGUUGUCCGGAUUUACUGGGCGUAAAGAGCGCGCAGGCGGUCGUUCAAGUCGCGUGUGAAAGCCCCCGGCUCAACUGGGGAGGGUCACGCGAUACUGAUCGACUCGAAGGCAGGAGAGGGAAGUGGAAUUCCCGGUGUAGUGGUGAAAUGCGUAGAUAUCUGGAGGAACACCGGUGGCGAAGGCGGCGUUCUGGACUGCAACUGACACUGAUGAACGAAAGCCAGGGGAGCAAACGGG